rnacentral:sRNA from 1 species
CAAGCCCAGCACAGACUUCAGUUUCUCCGCCUCCAUCCCCUUUACGAGAAGAGGAGAUUAAAAAAUUUUGCCCUUUAGGUGCUCGUGAUGGUCCUGUGGGUUCGUUCAGUUGCCGGAAAAGAAUGGUAACAUGAACGGCGGAGCGUGAGAGCGUCACCGGGGGAAGGGACGAGAUUGAUGGGCAGAGCGCUCACUUCUCAGAGGAUCGCAUUCCGAGGACCGCGCGAGGAAGGGACGUCGCGGCGCCACCACUUCCUGGCUGGACUCCGCUGACAUCUGUAGCCUCCUUUCCACCAGGUUCCCGGGGCUCCCAGCCGCUCCCUGCAGAGGAGAGUGUAGACAGCGCGCGAGGGUCCAGGAGUUCUUGGACCUCCAUCCGAACCGGAGUUCUGCCCAGAUCCCGAGUCCCUGGAUCCCGGUGGAGCCCGCCGGCAAGCUGGCUCCGGAGGGAGUUGAACUUGAGUUCAGAUGGCCAACUCCCUCUGAAUCCUGCAGAUUGGUGCUGAGCACGCAACAAAAGUUUGUAGCUUCUCAGUUUCUGGUGCUUCGCAGGGGAGAGGAAAGGAAUUUGACAUUAAACACAAGAAGCAGUCAGGGAGCCAUCUCCUUUAACUUUUCUUCUCUGUUACCAUUUGCAAUGAAGAGGAAACAGAAGAGAUUUCUGCAGAUGACUUUGUUGUUCACGGUGGCUUUAAUUUUCCUGCCUAACAUUGGUCUCUGGUCUCUGUACAAGGAUAAGCACCUGGUGAAGUCAGCGGAGCCCGGGGAGCAGCAGUGAAAAAAAGAAGAUGGACACUUUGGAUGUGAAACUUUUUUUGUUCUUAUUUACAUCAUUCAACCCUUGAUGUAAAACAGGAUUUUAAUAACUUUAGUAGUCAAUAUGCUAUUAUGUAAAAUCUCCACUCCAUGUUGGUAAAACAGGAAAGGCA